rnacentral:rRNA from 1 species
AGAGUUUGAUCCUGGCUCAGGAUGAACGCUAGCGACAGGCCUAACACAUGCAAGUCGAGGGGCAGCGAAGAGGUAGCAAUACCUUUGUCGGCGACCGGCGCACGGGUGAGUAACACGUAUGCAAUCCACCUGUAACAGGGGGAUAACCCGGAGAAAUCCGGACUAAUACCCCAUAAUAUGGGCGCUCCGCAUGGAGAGCCCAUUAAAGAGAGCAAUUUUGGUUACAGACGAGCAUGCGCUCCAUUAGCCAGUUGGCGGGGUAACGGCCCACCAAAGCGACGAUGGAUAGGGGUUCUGAGAGGAAGGUCCCCCACAUUGGAACUGAGACACGGUCCAAACUCCUACGGGAGGCAGCAGUGAGGAAUAUUGGUCAAUGGUCGGCAGACUGAACCAGCCAAGUCGCGUGAGGGAAGACGGCCCUACGGGUUGUAAACCUCUUUUGUCGGAGAGUAAAGUACGCUACGUGUAGUGUAUUGCAAGUAUCCGAAGAAAAAGCAUCGGCUAACUCCGUGCCAGCAGCCGCGGUAAUACGGAGGAUGCAAGCGUUAUCCGGAUUUAUUGGGUUUAAAGGGUGCGUAGGCGGCACGCCAAGUCAGCGGUGAAAUUUCCGGGCUCAACCCGGAGUGUGCCGUUGAAACUGGCGAGCUAGAGUACACAAGAGGCAGGCGGAAUGCGUGGUGUAGCGGUGAAAUGCAUAGAUAUCACGCAGAACCCCGAUUGCGAAGGCAGCCUGCUAGGGUGAAACAGACGCUGAGGCACGAAAGCGUGGGUAUCGAACAGGAUUAGAUACCCUGGUAGUCCACGCAGUAAACGAUGAAUACUAACUGUUUGCGAUACAAUGUAAGCGGUACAGCGAAAGCGUUAAGUAUUCCACCUGGGGAGUACGCCGGCAACGGUGAAACU